UGGGGCGUAGUUGCCUUCUUCUUGA
rnacentral:tRNA from 1 species